CAGUAGCCGCGGUAAUACGGGGGGGGCUAGCGUUGCUCGGAAUUACUGGGCGUAAAGCGCACGUAGGCGGCUUGGUAAGUUAGAGGUGAAAGCCCGGAGCUCAACUCCGGAAUUGCCUUUAAGACUGCCGAGCUAGUAGGUGAGAGAGGUAAGUGGAAUUCCGAGUGUAGAGGUGAAAUUCGUAGAUAUUCGGAAGAACACCAGUGGCGAAGGCGGCUUACUGGCUCAUUCUAGACGCUGAGGUGCGAAAGCGUGGGGAGCAAACAGGAUUAGAUACCCGUGUAGUCCCUGUCUCUUAUAC
rnacentral:rRNA from 1 species